CCGAAUUCGUCGACAACAGAGUUUGAUCCUGGCUCAGGAUGAACGCUGGCGGCGUGCCUAAUACAUGCAAGUCGAGCGAACAGAUAAGGAGCUUGCUCCUUUGACGUUAGCGGCGGACGGGUGAGUAACACGUGGGUAACCUACCUAUAAGACUGGAAUAACUCCGGGAAACCGGGGCUAAUGCCGGAUAACAUAUAGAACCGCAUGGUUCUAUAGUGAAAGAUGGUUUUGCUAUCACUUAUAGAUGGACCCGCGCCGUAUUAGCUAGUUGGUAAGGUAACGGCUUACCAAGGCGACGAUACGUAGCCGACCUGAGAGGGUGAUCGGCCACACUGGAACUGAGACACGGUCCAGACUCCUACGGGAGGCAGCAGUAGGGAAUCUUCCGCAAUGGGCGAAAGCCUGACGGAGCAACGCCGCGUGAGUGAUGAAGGGUUUCGGCUCGUAAAACUCUGUUAUUAGGGAAGAACAUAUGUGUAAGUAACUGUGCACAUCUUGACGGUACCUAAUCAGAAAGCCACGGCUAACUACGUGCCAGCAGCCGCGGUAAUACGUAGGUGGCAAGCGUUAUCCGGAAUUAUUGGGCGUAAAGCGCGCGUAGGCGGUUUCUUAAGUCUGAUGUGAAAGCCCACGGCUCAACCGUGGAGGGUCAUUGGAAACUGGGAAACUUGAGUGCAGAAGAGGAAAGUGGAAUUCCAUGUGUAGCGGUGA
rnacentral:rRNA from 1 species